rnacentral:rRNA from 1 species
CUACGGGUCGCUGCAGUCGAGAAUCUUCCGCAAUGGGCGCAAGCCUGACGAAGCGACGCCGCGUGCGGGAUGAAGGCCUUCGGGUUGUAAACCGCUGUCAGUGGGGAGGAAAUCACUUCGGUGUUGACCGAUCCGCAGAGGAAGCGCAGGCUAAGUUCGUGCCAGCAGCCGCGGUAACACGAACUGCGCGAACGUUAUUCGGAAUUACUGGGCUUAAAGAGUUCGUAGGCGGCCCGGUUAGUCGGGUGUGAAAUCCCACGGCCCAACCGUGGAAUUGCGCUCGAUACUGUCGGGCUAGAGAGAGUCAGAGGUGAGCGGAACUGAUGGUGGAGCGGUGAAAUGCGUUGAUAUCAUCAGGAACACCGGUGGCGAAAGCGGCUCACUGGGGCUCUACUGACGCUGAGGAACGAAAGCUAGGGGAGCGAACGGGAUUAGAUACCCGCGUAGUC